CCGUGUGGCCAAAGUUUAUAUUGCAAUGGCGAUGACGUCAAGUCUACUGGAGGGAAGUAAGGUGAAGAUGAUUUAAUAUGAUAUGUAUCAAACAAUGAGAUGCGGUCACUUUCAUGGCAUGAAGAAACUGUGAAUGGACUAUUCACUGAGAAGGGAAAAAAACACUCUGAAGUAAACUGUGAAGCCAGUCAUACGCUGGCGUCACAAACAAAAGAAAGUUAAUAACAUAAUUUAAGCUAGCUAAGUGAAACAGCCAGGAGAGUUAUAGUUAACGUUAGCUAACUUUAGUUUUCCAGUGUUUUGCUAAUGCGCUAAUAAUAUCAGCUACCGUGGUUUUGUAAGGCUAGUUAGCUGCCUAGCAGUGAGAGAGAAGAGGAGACGAGUGCUGUCAAACAAAACAAAGAAAUGACCAUCACUACUUCAUCUCCAUAAAAGAAAGUAGACUGGACUUCAGCAACAAAUAAGAAUCUACUUUCUGAGUAAAUAUCUUCAUAGGUGGCAAUGCGCUCACCUUGGCAGGACUAUCUACAAUUACCAGGUUCCCUGGGCACGGGGCUGAGCGAGUGAGAAGGCCUGGGCCCACUGAGCAGCAUCAGACGAGGAAAUGCUGAGAGGCAGCCCGCACUGCCAGGUGGCCGUAAGACGAAUGGGCGCGGGCACAGACUGAGACGGGGCAGGAAACAUAGAGGCAUAGUGCUGUGAACUGAAGAACAAUGAUAGGAAAUGUCCUGGAGAAAACACACCAGCCAGCGGUGAAUGAAGGCUGGAAAGAAGGAGAGAAAGAAAGACGAGGAGUGAAGAAAGGAGAGAAUCAGUGGACAAAGACAAAAGAAAGAGUUCAAAAGGAAAGAAUGUUAAGAUGGAAAAAGAAAAACAAAAAGAAAGGUAGAGGAAUAAGAACUGUACUAAAGUAUAAUUUUGAGGUAUUUGUACUUUACUUUCAUGUUAUACUACUUUAUACAUUUCAGAGGGAAAAUUUGUACUUUUUAGCUCCAUUAUAUUUAUCUGUCAGCUAUAGUUACUAGUUACUUUGCAGAUUAAAGGCCUGGUCACACCAGCUUUUAAAACUAUGUAAUUUUGCAGCAAAGUAAACUCAUUUCAGUAGAAUCGCAGCAAUCAGUGGAUUCAUUUGCGGGGGUAAAGUAAAUAUGUGCAAAUAUUUCAUGUCCAGUUUAACUUUGGUCACCCUUGACAUGCGAGUAUGCUCCGUGACAGCGCUGAGAGUCCAAAAUGGAGGAAGCUAUCAUAGCUUUAGCUGUGUUGCACCGUCUACCUUUAUUUUACCUUCCUCUGUCUGAGUAGAAACUACGCCACAAAAGAGGAAGGGUUUACAGACUGUUAUGAGACAGGAGUCGAUGGUAGAGGUUUAAAUUACGAAUCUCUUUGCUGAUUUGAAUAGUUUCAUUCAGAUUAGUUUUAAAGAUUCAUAGUCACUGACUAUGUAGUCCAUUCACUUUUGUUCUAAGCUAAGAAGUCCCAUCACAGUUCAAAUGCACAGCGCAUACAACAGUAAGUGAAUGCAUCCCUGCUCAAAUUUACACUGUUUUCAGUUCUGUGGUGCAUUCAGUAUGUUGCUGGAUCAAGCUCUUAUGUUGAGUUCAGUACAAAACUAGGUCUAUACAAGCAGUGUUUAUAAGGUUCAUUGCUCAUCAGUCACUUACUUGCAACAUUCAUCACAGUAUGAUUGUUUCUGUGACUUUUGCAGUCUUUUAAUAAGCUUUUAACCAGGAAGUAAUGUACUUUGUAUAACAGAUUAGCUGACAACGGGGCUCUCAGUCACCAGUGAGGUGUCAGUCAGUGACAAUGGCGAUUCAGUAUAUUCAGUUCAGUUUGAAGAUUCUGUGCUAAAAAUUCAUUGUUCAUGCAGGGAACACCUCUAGUCAAUGGUAGAAAUGCAUCUUUUGAAUAAACUAUCUGAACUGCUGUUCCAUUAGCAACCGGGCUAACACGCUUGUUAGCAAGCUUGCUAGCUUGUCCAGCUGUGACAUUGAAAUGCU